AUCUUUCUAGUAUCCAAAGUUAGUACACGUGACUUCCAAUCACCCAGUCUUGGUUAAAAUCCAAGGAAAGAUA
rnacentral:tRNA from 1 species